rnacentral:rRNA from 1 species
GACGAACGCUGGCGGCGUGCCUAAUACAUGCAAGUGGAACGCAUGAUUGAUACCGGAGCUUGCUCCACCAUUAAUCAUGAGUCGCGAACGGGUGAGUAACGCGUAGGUAACCUACCUCAUAGCGGGGGAUAACUAUUGGAAACGAUAGCUAAUACCGCAUAACAGUAUUUAUCGCAUGGUAAAUGCUUGAAAGGAGCAACUGCUUCACUAUGAGAUGGACCUGCGUUGUAUUAGCUAGUUGGUGGGGUAACGGCUCACCAAGGCAUCGAUACAUAGCCGACCUGAGAGGGUGAUCGGCCACACUGGGACUGAGACACGGCCCAG